CGUCGCGCUUGGAUCCCGUAGAAAGGAGAAGUUUCACCAUGUGCAACAUGUCACUGCACUGGUAGAAUCUUGUCGAUUUUCUCCCUGUGAAUUUUCAUCGGUUAUACGAAAUCGUAGUCCGUAGAAUGAACAUUGCAAUCAAUUCCGGUUGAACGUUUCAUGGAUCAUUGUUCCAUUUCGCAACGAGUACGUUUGUCCAUACGGUUACAUUUGCAUUGUUGUUACAUUUCUGCCAAUAGAAGAAGCCUGUUUUCAUGAAGUAGAUAUCGACUACACACAAAACAAUAUGGUGACAAUGUGGUGAAAUAAAUACUGGCAAAACGCGCAAUUAAAAUGUAUAAUGAAACGUUAAAUUGCGUGAGAAUUGCAGUUCUAGUAAAUGAGCUACAUCGUCUCAACUAAACCAGAUACAUAGGCAAGCAACAAGAGUCAACUCGUGAAACUACACAAGACGUUAAACUCGAGGAAGAUGAAAGUACGAAGUCUGCUUGUGACGCGAGUUAACUUCGAACGCUCGAAACGACAAGAUUUCAACUCGGUCGGUUGAUGACAGCUUUGUUACCGACUGUACCAUACCGGUUCCAUCGUACACGUGCAAAAACAUUCAGUACUUACCUCCUUGCGAAGAUGAUACGAAACAGUUACAAGAUGAAGAAAAUAAAAGAUUCGAGGAAAAACUGGGAAAGAAAUAAUCUAACCAAUAUUCCAAUAUAACGAGAGAACAAACAUAAGUGGAAUAACUCGGAAGUUAAGAUAAACAGAAUUUAUAAUGGAAAUUUCUUUUCAUAAUCGGUCGAGUUUUACGGAACUUCCUACGUAUUUUAAUCCUGGAUCUUGGAACGAGUUAUGGUUAACCCGGUUGCUGUUGAAUUAACCAGAAUAUAAGGCGAAACAUCGAAAUUUCGCAAGUUUUUAAAUUAUAAUUCUUAUUGAGUAGUGUGUAGUGAAAAAGUAAAAACAAUUAAAAUUAAUUAUAUUAUCUUUUUAUUUAUCUUUUAAAUACUAUAUAUGAUAAUGAAUUAUACAAAUGAUUAUGAAUUGUACAAAUUAAAAUGAAUUUGAAGUCGAAAUAGAAACUUAAAUGGAUAUUAUUAUUAAAUAAAUUUUAUAAUUAAAUAUUUACUGAAUAUUUAUUCUCAAAAAACAUUCUGGUUUCUAUGUUUCGAAUAUGUGACGUAUUUCUAAAAAACAAGAUUAAAGGAAGAACAAUCCAAACUGUGAACAAAUAAUUAUUUGAGAAAGAGUUAAAAUUCUCAAUUUAGGAGACCACUGGAAAUUAGCUAACUUUUCCCACGGUUUCUCCAGGAUAAACUAAUUUCGAGAAACACCAGAAACGAAUCGCUGUUCAUCAUAAUGCGAACUCUGUGACAUUCACCAGUCGAAACACGAAUCCGGAUGGUCUGUCCAGCUGUUUAACGGAGCAUACCUCCAGCAUACCAAGUUACUUGCCCGUGAAAGAUUAUUUUCCACCAAUGAUGAACACAGAAAUUGGAACUGGAAGAGAAUCCUCAGAAACAUCUACAAUGGUUUAGAUAGUCGCCAGAAACGAUUUUGGAGAAAGUGACCACUAGUGACCACUGACUAGCCACAAAGUCUACAUGCUGUCCACAAGAAGUAGUCGGACUCAAGGGACAAUUGGUGGCGUAAACCAACUUCCAAACUUCAAUACUCGUAAAAACCGAAAACGUAGAAACAAAAUUUAAACUUUUGUGAAAAAUACAGAUUCUUUCGAGAUUGAUGCGAGCAAUAUUUAGAUUAAAAUGAUAAUAAUAAUUAUUAAUUCCAUGAUAAAUGAAACGGUACCAUCUUCGUUUUUUUAAUUAUUCAAUUUGAAUCUUUUCAAAGUAUGAGAAAAAAGAUCGUACGAGGGAAGCUUUUAAAACCAGAGACUUUAAGGGAAAAGAAAAGAUGUACAGGAGAUCCAGAUAGGAAGGCUAAGGAAACGAGAAUCCACUGAUAAGGAGACACAGAGGACUAAGGAGAGAUUCAGAGGAAGAAACACUGUGAAAAAGUAGAUAGACAAAAGAAGGAAGAAAUGUAUAAAAGAGAAAAAUUGAAAGAAGGAAGACUUUCAGAAUCUAUAAGCGGAAACUUAGUGAAGGAAUGAUGCGUGAAAAGAAAAAAAUUUCUCUAAAAAUCUGUAAAUAAAGAUAAAGGAUAUAAUGCACGAAGAAAGGAAAAAUUAAGAAAACAGGAAAUUGAACAUAGAUAAUAUAAAAAAUAAAAGAAAAACUGAUCACAUAAACAAAAAUAACACAAUAGACCGCCCGAUUUAUAAACAAAAGACCAUCCACCUUCAACGGUCGGCGGCGUACUAAUAACGGAUAGCCACGGACCGCGGUGAGUCUGCCUUACCGGCGCAAGCGUCUCUUCGAAGGAAGCGCAGAUCACUAAUACUAAUACAACGCCACCGCGGGGAUAGUACAGAACACAAACAUACAUCGAUUGUAUAGAUACCUGUUGAAUGCUGGGAGUCACUGACACGUUGGCGGUCAACUAGAUCGAAAAGACGAUGAAACUGGUAUGACGUAUUAAUAAUCCUCUAUAAUCUGAUGAUUUUCUCAAUCGAGUUUACUCUUUUAUUAAAACUUCUCUUCGACUUUUUAAAAUAAUUUAUAGGAUAUUUUAACAAUGAUAUAGACAAAAUACAAAUAAAAAACAAUGUGUUAAAAAAAUUAUAGAGAAAAAGAAAAAGUCGAUAAAUUGAUACAUUUUAAUUACGAUCAAAAAUAAAUAUUUAUAAGAAGUAAACAUUUAUUUAUAAUCGUGUUUUCUAAAAUUUUAAGAAUAAGAAUAAAAUAACGGAGAAUUUGUAAAACUGAAACUAAAUAUAAAUAUUUGUAUUUUAUUUAUUCUCAUAUAUUUUUUCAAAGUUCUUUUGUUAAUUUUAUUAGCAUACGUUGUAUUUUAAGAACAUUUUGCCAUAAAAAAUUAAAUUGACAGUUAGAAUUGUCUGUAUCAUGUCUGUAUCACACAGCUUAGGAUCAUGUAGUUACUCUCAAUACAUAUGCAUAAAAAAAGAAAUAAAACUACAGCAGUUUUAUUAUUAACGCAAUCACACGUUCAAGAUACUACAUAACUGCAAUUUAUAUUAUUUACACUAUUUAUAUCUCCAAUCUAAAACAAAUUUAUUAACUGUUUGCCUGUAAUAUGAUGAAUAUGACUUUUAAAAGAUAAAUAAAAAUAAUUUGGGAUCUUAAAGGAUUUAAUAAAAAUUAAAAGAUAUUUUUUGUUUCAUUAUAAUGAUUUAUUUAUUAUAAAAUUAUGCUUCCAACAAAUUGUAAAGGAAUAUAUGCAUGCAUGGAAUCGAAUCGACCGGACAAGCGAUCAUUAAAAAAAUUUUGUAAUUGAUUGAACAUUGAUACACAGUUCUGUAUAUGUCCCAUCCAUUCUGUACACGUAGAUUUAUAUCUCUAAGUUCGAAGCAAGUCACUGUACAUAUGAAUAUUUUCUUUAUUACCAUUUUUUGCUUUUAUUUUUUAUUGAAUAACUCUUAAAUUCGUAAAACUUUAUAUAAGGAAGAACAAAGACAUUUUUAGAGAUUCAAAAGCUGCCUAAUAAUAAUUUCUCCUUUUCUAUUAGGAUAUCCUUGCUCUUCCUUACAUAAAUUAAAUCGUUCAUCGCAUAUGUUUAUCUUUCUACCUACAAAAUACUCGAUUGUUGGCUGACUUUCUUAUCAUAAAAAACGUAUAAAACAUUGCUGAAAAUGAAUCUUUAAACUCACUCGAGGUAACCCAUACAGAGUUACAAAGAACAACCUACAUCGAAUGAAAUCAAAUUUCAUUUUCUCCUUUUUUCUUUCUUUUUCUUCGUUUUUUUUUUGUUUUUUUGUUUUUGUUUUUUUUUGUUUGUUUAUUUAAUCAUUUUUUUUGUUUGUUGUUUAUCAUUAAGCUUGGCGCAAUACGAAAGCGGAAGUCAGAAAAAGUCGAUAAUACUCAACCAACGAUGAGCCAGUAACAGUCUUCUGAAAAUUUAAGCACAAGAAACUCGAAUGAUCUUCUGAUCUACAAUGAAAUCUGUAAAUUUUAAAGAUGUAUCUUAAAUGAUAUAAGUGAAAGAAUAGAUGCAAUAAGAGACGGAACUUGAAAACAUGCAUUAUCGGAGAGACAUUUCUCUCAAACAUUAUUAUCUACUUUUUUCUUUUUUUUUUCUUUUUUUUUUUCUUUUUUUUUUCUUUUUUUUAGAUUGACUUCAACGAUUGAAAAAUACAAUGUAAUCCCGAUAAUCCAUAUUAGUCCAUAUUAGAUAAUCCAUACAGGUACAAAGAUAUGAAAUUAAAGAAAAAAAUAAAAACUAUAUUCACAAUUGCAGUAAAUGCAAUUUAAUUACUUAUUUUUUAAUUAGGUAUAUUACUGAAAAAUGUAAACCUAUUUCAUGAUGAAAAGUUUUACUAAAAAUACUUUUAUUAUUAAAUAUAUGUUGCGUAAAAUACAGUGUUUUUAAUAAAAUCGAUGAUCCAAACAAAUUCGUUCGAAUUUACGAGGUUCAUCGAGAUUACACUGCACUUGAUAAUAAAAAUCGACAAGAAUACUCAUAUUGUUUAAUGGUUUCCAUAACAAAAACAGCCAUUCUCCUUCUGAAGGGAUGAUUAAAUAGUAAAUAAUUCUUUUUUUCUUUUAUAUUUAUCUCAUUUGGUUUUAAUUUUCGUUUAAUAAUAAGUGCUAACCGUAUCUUUCAACAAGUUCAUCCCUUACAAUGUUUAAACAUAACAGUCUGCCAGCAGCGCAAAGACAAAAGAUAUUUCGCUUGGAUCGCUCUUUUUGUCUCAUUAAAUUUUAUUAUUUAUAUGGAAAUGGAAUCUCCAUAAACUCCGAUAAACAGGAGUAACAUGAGGAAAUAGCGAAAACGCCUAAGUAAAAUUGAUGAGGGCACAUUUGAUCAACCAACAGGUGUCACACACGUUUAAUUCCCGCUCGCGCUCCAAUUCUUUCAAUUUCUCCCCAAUUUCUCUUAAACUUUUCAAAUUCUUCAUUUUUUUUCCCCCUUGUUUUUCUUUGCCAGCAAAAAACUAGUAUACAAUGUUGCUCUUUUUUUUUUUCUUUUUUUCUUUUGAACCAUGAAACUGACAGUGCAACAACACAACAUUUUUGUAAGCGUUCUUGAAAAAAUUCGUAAUGCGAUUACACCAUUUGGUAACGUCACAUAUAACUCGUUGCUUAUUAUUUCUUUUUUCUUUUUUUUUUUUUAUCCUUUUGUUUAACGAUUCUUAAUUAUAGGCCUCUGGCAGAGGCGAUUCUUGCGAAUGCGUUCCACAGGCAUCUAGGCACGACAGAUAUAAAAGUAGUACGUUCAGGAAUAUUUAGAUUUAUAACAAUCCAUAUUCUAAAAUAGUGCUAUCACGUUCAUCUAAACUCUAAAACGACUUUUCACUUCUUUUUGCAAUUUUUUCUUUUUUUUUUUCUUUUUUUUUCUUUUUUUCUUUUUUUUUUUUUUUUUUUGCCGCUAAUUACGAGCUGAUAGCGUUUGAAGCAGCUAUAUAUCACUUGUGUAUUAUUAAAUAUCUGUCGUUUGCGCAUCAGUGGAAAUCUCGCCCAGAAGAGUAAACGCCUCAAACUUCAUACUAAAAUUUGUUUUCUUUUUUUAUUGUUAUUAUUAUUACAACAUCAAGCACGCGGCCAUUCUUUUUUGACUUCUUUCGAAUUCGUAUAAAAUUUUUUUGUUUAUUUAGAGUACAGGAUAUAUAGUGUGAGUGAACAAUAAUUUAUCAUUCGAAGACAGACUUUGAAUAAAAAAAACUUGGAAAAAAAA